rnacentral:rRNA from 1 species
UACGUAGGUGGCAAGCGUUGUCCGGAUUUACUGGGCGUAAAGAGCGCGCAGGCGGUCGUUCAAGUCGCGUGUGAAAGCCCCCGGCUCAACUGGGGAGGGUCACGCGAUACUGAUCGACUCGAAGGCAGGAGAGGGUAGUGGAAUUCCCGGUGUAGUGGUGGAAUGCGUAGAUAUCGGGAGGAACACCAGUGGCGAAGGCGGUUGCCUGGAGCUUUGCUGACGCUGAGGAGCGAAAGCGUGGGGAGCGAACAGG